rnacentral:rRNA from 2 species
CGGGGAGGUAGUGACGAAAAAUAACGAUACGGGACUCAUCCGAGGCCCCGUAAUCGGAAUGAGUACACUUUAAAUCCUUUAACGAGGACCAAUUGGAGGGCAAGUCUGGUGCCAGCAGCCGCGGUAAUUCCAGCUCCAAUAGCGUAUAUUAAAGUUGUUGCGGUUAAAAAGCUCGUAGUUGAAUCUGUGUGUCACAGUGUCGGUUCACCGCUCGCGGUGUUUAACUGGCAUUAUGUGAUACGUCCUAUCGGUGGUCUUAGCUCCUUGCGGGCGGUCCAACUAAUCUCCCAUCGCGGUGCUCUUCACUGAGUGUCGAGGUGGGCCGAUACGUUUACUUUGAACAAAUUAGAGUGCUUAAAGCAGGCUACCUUCGCCUGAAUACUGUGUGCAUGGAAUAAUGGAAUAGGACCUCGGUUCUAUUUUGUUGGUUUUCGGAGCCCCGAGGUAAUGAUUAAUAGGGACAGAUGGGGGCAUUCGUAUUGCGACGUUAGAGGUGAAAUUCUUGGAUCGUCGCAAGACGGACAGAAGCGAAAGCAUUUGCCAAAAAUGUUUUCAUUAAUCAAGAACGAAAGUUAGAGGUUCGAAGGCGAUCAGAUACCGCCCUAGUUCUAACCAUAAACGAUGCCAGCCAGCGAUCCGCCGAAGUUCUUCAGAUGACUCGGCGGGCAGCUUCCGGGAAACCAAAGCUUUUGGGUUCCGGGGGAAGUAUGGUUGCAAAGCUGAAACUUAAAGGAAUUGACGGAAGGGCACCACCAGGAGUGGAGCCUGCGGCUUAAUUUGACUC